rnacentral:rRNA from 1 species
GUAGGGAAUAUUGCGCAAUGGACGAAAGUCUGACGCAGCGACGCCGCGUGAGUGAUGAAGGCCUUAGGGUCGUAAAGCUCUGUUGAAUGGGAAGAAAAAAAUGACGGUACCAUUCGAGGAAGGACCGGCUAACUUCGUGCCAGCAGUCGCGGUAAUACGAGGGGUCCUAGCGUUGUUCGGAAUCAUUGGGCGUAAAGGGUGUGUAGGUGGCCAUGUAAGUCAGGUGUGAAAGCCCCGGGCUCAACCCGGGAAGUGCACUUGAUACUGCGUGGCUUGAGUACCGAAGAGGGUAGUGGAAUUCCAGGUGUAGUGGUGAAAUACGUAGAUAUCUGGAGGAACACCGGUGGCGAAGGCGGCUACCUGGUCGAGUACUGACACUGAGACACGAAAGCAUGGGGAUCAAACAGGAUUAGAAACCCGGGUAGUCC